ACGGGUGGAGUAAUGCCUAGGAAUCUGCCUGGUAGUGGGGGGACGAACGUUUCGAAAGGAACGCUAAUACCGCAUACGUCCUACGGGAGAAAGCAGGGGACCUUCGGGCCUUGCGCUAUCAGAUGAGCCUAGGUCGGAUUAGCUAGUUGGUGAGGUAAUGGCUCACCAAGGCGACGAUCCGUAACUGGUCUGAGAGGAUGAUCAGUCACACUGGAACUGAGACACGGUCCAGACUCCUACGGGAGGCAGCAGAU
rnacentral:rRNA from 1 species